CCCUUAGAUGUCCUGGGCCGCACGCGCGUUGCACUGAUGCAUUCAACGAGCUUAUAACCUUGGCCGAGAGGCCUGGGCAAUCUUGUUAACGUGCAUCGUGAUAGGGAUAGAUUAUUGAAAUUAUUAAUCUUGAACGAGGAAUUCCUAGUAAACGCAGAUCAUCAAUCUGCAUUGAUUACGUCCCUGCCCUUUGUACACACCGCCCGUCGCACCUACCGAUUGGAUGGUCCGGAGAAGCCUCGGGAUUGUGGUUCUUGCCGCUUUAUUGUGGCGUGACCGCGAGAACUUGUCUAAACCUUAUCAUCUAGAGGAAGGUGAAGUCGUAACA
rnacentral:rRNA from 1 species